UUCCCAGCAACUCCUAUCCCUACCUCCACGCGGUACCGGCCGGAAACUAUGAGCAACCUUAGGGAAGAUCGGGUAACCAACCCCGGUGGGAACUUUGGUCGUAGGCUGACAGGGAAGG
rnacentral:ribozyme from 1 species